AUGAAGCCCUUCGGGGUGGAUUAGUGGCGAACGGGUGAGUAACACGUGGGCAAUCUGCCCUUCACUCUGGGACAAGCCCUGGAAACGGGGUCUAAUACCGGAUAACACUCCUCAGGGCAUCUUGAGGGGUUAAAAGCUCCGGCGGUGAAGGAUGAGCCCGCGGCCUAUCAGCUUGUUGGUGGGGUGAUGGCCUACCAAGGCGACGACGGGUAGCCGGCCUGAGAGGGCGACCGGCCACACUGGGACUGAGACACGGCCCAGACUCCUACGGGAGGCAGCAGUGGGGAAUAUUGCACAAUGGGCGAAAGCCUGAUGCAGCGACGCCGCGUGAGGGAUGACGGCCUUCGGGUUGUAAACCUCUUUCAGCAGGGAAGAAGCGAAAGUGACGGUACCUGCAGAAGAAGCGCCGGCUAACUACGUGCCAGCAGCCGCGGUAAUACGUAGGGCGCAAGCGUUGUCCGGAAUUAUUGGGCGUAAAGAGCUCGUAGGCGGCUUGUCACGUCGGAUGUGAAAGCCCGGGGCUUAACCCCGGGUCUGCAUUCGAUACGGG
rnacentral:rRNA from 2 species